CCUACGGGCGGCAGCAGUGAGGAAUAUUUGUCAAUGGACGAGAGUCUGAACCAGCCAAGUAGCGUGAAGGAUGACUGCCCUAUGGGUUGUAAACUUCUUUUAUAUGGGAAUAAAAUGUUCCACGUGUGGGAUUUUGUAUGUACCAUAUGAAUAAGGAUCGGCUAACUCCGUGCCAGCAGCCGCGGUAAUACGGAGGAUCCGAGCGUUAUCCGGAUUUAUUGGGUUUAAAGGGAGCGUAGGUGGAUUGUUAAGUCAGUUGUGAAAGUUUGCGGCUCAACCGUAAAAUUGCAGUUGAAACUGGCAGUCUUGAGUACAGUAGAGGUGGGCGGAAUUCGUGGUGUAGCGGUGAAAUGCUUAGAUAUCACGAAGAACUCCGAUUGCGAAGGCAGUUCACUGGACUGCAACUGACACUGAGGCUCGAAAGUGUGGGUAUCAAACAGGAUUAGAUACCCCUGUAGUC
rnacentral:rRNA from 1 species